UCCGCAGGGGGUUUACUAAGUCUGAUGUGAAAUCCCGUGGCUCAACCACGGAACUGCAUUGGAAACUGGUGAACUAGAGUACUGGAGAGGUAAACGGAAUUCCUGGUGUAGCGGUGGAAUGCGUAGAUAUCAGGAAGAACACCGAAAGCGAAGGCAGUUUACUGGACAGUUACUGACCCUCAUGGACGAAAGCGUGGGUAGCGAACAGGAUUAGAUACCCUGGUAGUCC
rnacentral:rRNA from 1 species